rnacentral:rRNA from 1 species
UUUCUUGGGAAAAGGGAUUAAGCGGGGGGACGGGGGGAUUAACCCGGGGGGUACCCUCCCUUUUUGGUGGGGGAUAGCCUUUUGGAAAGGGAGAAUUAAUUCCCCCAAAUUAUGUAGCUUGCCCUGAAGCCACCAUUAAGGAUUUAUUCGUUUUGAGAGGGGUUUGCGUCCCCAUUAGGCAGUUGGCGGGUAACGGGCCACCUAAGCCGACGAUGGUUAGCCGAGCUGAGAGGCUGAUCGGCCACACUGAAACUGAGACACGGUCCAGACUCCUACGGGAGGCAGCAGUGGGGAAUAUUGGGCAAUGGGCGCAAGCCUGACCCAGCAACGCCGCGUGAGGGAAGAAGGUUUUCGGAUUGUAAACCUCUGUCCUUGGUGACGAAGGAAGUGACGGUAGCCAAGGAGGAAGCCCCGGCUAACUACGUGCCAGCAGCCGCGGUAAUACGUAGGGGGCGAGCGUUGUCCGGAAUUACUGGGCGUAAAGGGUGAGUAGGCGGUUUUUUAAGUUGGAUGUGAAAUACCCGGGCUUAACUUGGGGGGUGCAUUCAAAACUGGGGAACUAGAGUACAGGAGAGGAAAGCGGAAUUCCUAGUGUAGCGGUGAAAUGCGUAGAUAUUAGGAGGAACACCGGUGGCGAAGGCGGCUUUCUGGACUGAAACUGACGCUGAGGCACGAAAGCGUGGGGAGCAAACAGGAUUAGAUACCCUGGUAGUCCACGCCGUAAACGAUGUCAAUUAGG